GGCAGUUCUAAGGUAAUGCACCCCGGAAUCGGGCUCCCUCCUCUCUGGUUCCGGGUGCAUGACCCGAGAACUGCA
rfam:Myotis brandtii contig188773, whole genome shotgun sequence.